GGUGUGUUUUCUCCUCAGUUCCUGUCACAGAUGCUGUGCUGAUAUCCCGCACCAACGGGACUGAGAUACAGCCCGGGGACCGCCUUGUUCUCCGGUGCCUGGUGAGGGAAGGCACUGAGCCCCAGUUCAUUUGGUACCGUGACAACUUGCCGCUAAGAAACGGCAGUGCGAGCUCCCAUGUGACUGCCGAUGGUGGUGAGCUGGAUAUUCAUUCAUUCCGGAGAGACAAUGUCGGGAGAUAUCACUGUGCAGCGAUCAACAAAGGAACCAACGGCACCAUUUUUCACGUGACCAGCGACUAUAUCGAAUUCACGCUGCGAGCUCGGAGUUAUUCCACGGAGAUCGCGGCCUCGCUCGUCCCAGUUCUGCUGUUCGCCGGCCUGAUCGCGUUGGCGUGGUUCAUCCACCGGAGGAGGGACACAGGCAAUUCCUCAACUGUGUCACAGCCCAAGAAGUAAGGGGAUGAAACUGCAAAUUUUAUAUUUGCCAUUGUUUACCCUGAUUCCUCUUAAUCAGGGAGUGACAACGAGGAGAAGAAUUGAGAGAGGAAGCUUGGGUAUUGCCAUAUCCUUCUAACACGAGUCUAACAAACCAGGAAACCAUACUCCUGGAAAGUCCCAGGUGGCUUUUAUUCAUUCACAGGGAUGUUGGUGUCACUGGCAGGGCCAGCAUUUAUUGCCCAUCCCUAAUUGCCCCAGCGGGCAGUUUUGUUAACCAGCUUCUGGAGUCACAAAUGGGCCAGACCAGGUAAGGAUGGCAGAUUUCCUUCACCAAAGGACAUAAGUGAAAAGCAGAUGGGGAUUUGGGCAGCUCCUUGAGGGUGAGAAAGCUCCAUGUUCGGAUGGAAACCAGCGACAUGGGACCAAGUAAUAACAGGGUCUCACUGGGCAUUGUAUUUUCUGUGAUAGCUUUGCUGUUUUGUUGAAGCCGAGCAUGGUGUUGAAAGCAUUGUGUUCGAAAUGACAACUUCCUUCCCUUCCCCUUUCUACUGGAAAUAGAUGCCAAGCUUCUGGUGAAGGGGCAGCAGCCGGCAAUCUGGAGUAUGCAGUAAUUGGAGCAGCACA